UGAGGAAUAUUGCGCAAUGGGGGAAACCUUGACGCAGCAACGCCGCGUGGGUGAUGAAGGCCUUCGGGUCGUAAAGCCCUGUCAGGUGGGAAGAAACAUGUCGGUGCUAAUAUCACCGAUGUUUGACGGUACCGCCGGAGGAAGCACCGGCUAACUCCGUGCCAGCAGCCGCGGUAAUACGGAGGGUGCAAGCGUUGUUCGGAAUUACUGGGCGUAAAGCGCGUGUAGGCGGUCGGGCAAGUCAGAUGUGAAAGCCUUCCGCUUAACGGAAGAAGUGCAUUUGAAACUACCCGGCUGGAGUACGGGAGAGGAGAGUGGAAUUCCCGGUGUAGAGGUGAAAUUCGUAGAUAUCGGGAGGAACACCAGUGGCGAAGGCGGCUCUCUGGUCCGAUACUGACGCUGAGACGCGAAAGCGUGGGGAGCAAACAGGAUUAGAUACCCUGGUAGUCCACGCCGUAAACGAUGGGCACUAGGUGUAGGAGGUAUUGACCCCUUCUGUGCCGAAGUUAACGCAUUAAGUGCCCCGCCUGGGGAGUACGGCCGCAAGGUUA
rnacentral:rRNA from 1 species